AAUAAAAAGGCAGGAAGACAGACUGGCUGACUUCUGGGUAGACUGUCUCUAAGUGUCUGUAAUUAACUCAUUCAUUCUUACUCCGCCCAGAACAUGCAUUUGAAGGGAAUACCUUUCUAACUUAGGUUUCCAAGACAAGUGGAACUGAAGAGGCAGAGAGCCAGAAGCUACCCCAGAUUUCACGGAUCUGAAGCCCAGAAGGUUACAUACAGACCUUGCUUAAAGUCAUACAGCCAGUAUGGAGUUCUCACUCCAGAGAAUGGACAGCCUUGUGGAUGAUCGUGUCAACAUCCUGGGAUUUUCCAUUUUCAACCAAUCCCAUGCUUUCUUCCAAGAGUUUGCCCAGAGCCUCAACCAGUCCUGGCAGGAGAACUGUGACCAUGUGCCCUUCACUGGGCCUGCGGUAAGUACCCGCCAGAGCUCUUCCUGGUGCCCCUUGGCCUCUGCAUAUUGCCCCUCGGCCUCUGCAUAUUGCCCCUCUGUGGGCCAACCCCUGGGCAACACGUCUUCUUAGAGUCCAGCCGUCUCCCGCUCUAGUCCCAGCUCAGAAAGGGAGGUAGAGAGGUGUAGGAAGCGGUUGCAGGGGAUG
rnacentral:sRNA from 1 species